CGGCUGUUGGCUCAGUUGGUAGAGCAGUUGACUUUUAAUCAAUUGGUCGCAGGUUCGAAUCCUGCACGACCCACCA
rnacentral:tRNA from 1 species